AAAUCGUGGCGAUUUGUUACCGGAUUGCGGGCCACGUUAAACAUACCAGCUAAAGAGGUCAGGAUGUA
rnacentral:ncRNA from 1 species